CAGCAGCCGCGGGAAUACGUAGGUGGCAAGCGUUGUCCGGAAUUAUUGGGCCUAAAGGGCUCGCAGGCGGUUUCUUAAGUCUGAUGUGAAAGCCCCCGGCUCAACCGGGGAGGGUCAUUGGAAACUGGGAAACUUGAGUGCAGAAGAGGAGAGUGGAAUUCCACGUGUAGCGGUGAAAUGCGUAGAGAUGUGGAGGAACACCAGUGGCGGAGGCGACUCUCUGGUCUGUAACUGACGCUGAAGAGCGAAAGCGUGGGGAGCGAACAGGAUUAGAUACCCCAGUAGUCCCUGUCUCUUAUAC
rnacentral:rRNA from 1 species